rnacentral:rRNA from 1 species
UACGGGGGGGGCAAGCGUUGUUCGGAAUUACUGGGCGUAAAGGGCUCGUAGGCGGCCAACUAAGUCGGAUGUGAAAUCCCCAGGCUUAACCUGGGAACUGCAUCCGAUACUGGAUGGCUUGAAUCCGGGAGAGGGAUGCAGAAUUCCAGGUGUAGCGGUGAAAUGCGUAGAUAUUGGGAGGAACACCAGUGGCGAAGGCGGCUCACUGGACCGGUACUGACGCUGAUGCGCGAAAGCGUGGGGAGCAAACGGG